GAUGAAGAACGUAGCGAAAUGCGAUAAUUAAUGUGAAUUGCAGAAUUCCGUGAAUCAUCGAGUCUUUGAACGCACAUUGCGCCUCAUGGGAUUCCGUGAGGCAUGCCCAUCUCAGCGUUAGAAAAUAUUCUCAAAUUUUAGUUUUGUGCUAAAAUUUGGAUCAUGUCAAAGAAGCUAUUACUAUUAUUGUGAUCGCUCUUUGGAAAUUGAUAGGUCUUUGAGUUGCUACUCAUAGAACGUGAUGAAUCUUUCUUCAUUCUAUUGUAAUUCACUCUGGUAGUCCUAAAACUUGUAUGCCUGUGGCAUAUCUUGUAAUUUGACCUGAGAUUGAGUAGGGAUACCCGCUGAACUUAAGCAUAUCAAUAAGCGGAGGA
rnacentral:misc_RNA from 1 species